GUACCUGCAGUAGAGCCUGUGCUGUGCUACGGCUGUGGCCGGCGUGGGUCCUUUUUGCCCAGGUUUCUUGGACACGGAGCAUGAGGUGAUACGUGCCUGAGAUGUGGCGUGGCACAUCCUACUUAGCACCAUGAUGAGUUCUGGCACUGGGCUUUGGAGCAAAGUCCAUCCCUAGAAAAAGGAGAAGUGGUUGCAGCUACCCCAGUAAAGAAUGGCUGGGUCACAACCCAGCAUGAAGACAAGCCUGUACUCCAGCUCUUAGGAAGCUUCCUCACCUCACAGUGGAGAAGACAAAAAGCCCAGAGAAAGCGAGAAAUCAAUGUCAGGGAUGGGAGUAAAAGCAACAGAGGCUCAUGCUUGUACAAAACCAGUCCAGCACAAGAAAGGUGUCAGCAGCUGUGGACAUAGCAAGAGGAGCAAGAACAGUCAGAAAACCUGCUGGCCAAGUGGCAGCCCAGCUGUACCUCCUAGCUUACAUCCUUUUUGGGUAAUGAAAGAAGCUGCAGUUCCUUAAGGGAAGGACAGAGGAACAUCCUCUUCAGACUGACACAAAAAGGGUUAAAGGGCCAGCUUGAGGAAGAAGGAAUUGUGACUCUUCCUGUCUGCAAAAGUAUGCCUGCUUUGGAAAGUCCAUCUACAAAUCCUAAAGAGAUUGACUAUGAAAGACCCAUACCCUCUAAAAGAUUUGGGCUGAAGUAAUAGCCAAGUGCUCGUCUCAGGCAAUUCAGAACUGCUGACUGUUAGAGCUCUGCCAUCCCCUGUUCAGCCUGUUUAUCUCACCUGAGCUUAGGAGCGAUGUGGAGCUACUGAAUCCAACAAAGCAUCAAGAGAUGCUGUCACAACCCUACAUACAAUCCACUGCAGGACCAAGCCACCAGUUCUGCACAGCUGCCAGUGCUGUCUGUGAUUCAGGAAAACUGAGAAAAGCUGAAAAGGCUGAACUUGUCACCCUGAAGGAGAGAAAAAUGCCUCAGAAAACCUCAGGAACCCUUCCAUCCAUGCUAAGAGAAUAUCUGUUCAAUUAAACAUCUUAUACCUGUGUGGCAGCAGCUUGUAUCUCUUCAUGUGCAAAAUCCCUGACUCACUGUUAGUUUCUGCCCAUAGUACCUGUCUUAAAACCCCUCAGACUGAGAGGUGACCCUUCCACUGGGUUUGUCUCCUCCUGGCCAUUGAAGGUCAUUUCAGCAAUUCCUGAAGAGCUAUCUUCUUUACAGAAAACACUUGAAGCAACAGAGUGAUUGCCAGUGUCAAGCCUGGAGCCACAGUCAAAGAAAAGGAAGUGCCCUGCCGCUGUGAAAUAAACUUUCUCCAACCCCAGGUUAAAAACAACAACAGCAACAACAAAAACAAUUAGACCUUCUACUGCUCAAAGAUAGCUAUUAAUAAACCUGCCAUUUUGCACAAGUAACACGUAUGUGCAUAUGUGUCUAUAAAGGAAAACCAAUUAAACUAUCCUCCAUAAAUUGUAAUUGCUUCUUUUGUAUUCAUAUUAAUACUUACUUUAAACCCUGAUGUCUAACUCUUCAUGAGCAUUCCUGUCUAGAGAAAUUAAUUUAUGCUUUGUUCUGAAAGCAUAUCAGCAAAUGGGCAUUGAUGCUGAUAGCCAUUUAUUGCUCCGGCAGUGAGGUUAAACAGCUCGUGCUUUUAACUGCGUGGUACAAAAGAUAUAAAACUAUUUGCUUGAGAUAUUAAUCCAGGAUGACCUGAUAUAACAUCACAGUAAAAGAGCUUUUCCCAAAGAAGGGAAUUGUGUGCUCUGCUCAGUACCUCCUGCUGACUCUCUGCUCCCAGUGAAUAAACACACAGCUGAAUUCUCCCAGCCAGGUGUGAUCCAGCAAUGAACUGGCAGCACAUCCUUGUAUCUGCGAAUGCCAAGUCUGACUCACAGAAGCAGCCCACCGCCAGCUCUGCAGCCAAAAUGCUUGCUCCAUUUUCUUAAGAAUCAACAAAAUACCACACGAACAAAAAAUUCUCUUAGUAUAUAUCUCCAAAGAAUGAAGCACCUUGGCGUACAUACAAUGAAGCAUCAUGUGUGAGAAUGGUUUUUCGUGACUCAGCCACCAUAGAUGAUUUCAUGGAAGCAAAAAGGGAAGCUGUGAGUGAAGGAAAUGAUAAAUGGUCUAAUGAUUAAAGAUGAUUUACAAAGUCUGAUCUCUACAGAUGACCUUGUAAUUUGAAGGAGAAGAGCUUAAAUGUUGGAAUAUUUCAUCUGAAGUAAUCUGUUCACCAGAAGAGGGAAACCACGUGCCCUCAGACUGCAGCUGCUGAAUUGUCCAGCAUGUUGGCAAACAAAAGUACAUGCUCUGUUUGCAUAUUUGUCCUGUGCCUUUUGUGUCCCAACUUCAAUUCUAUUCUGUUUCAUUCUGUUCUUCUGUUACUCAGAAAAAAACCCUGAAAAACAUUAAACUCAGCUCCUCAGCUCUAAGAAGACUCUCAUGCAAUCAUAUUAUCUCUUGACCAUAAAAUGCACAAAUGGAUUUGAGUAAGUCAGUCUAGCUUUGGUUUGGUAAUAAGGAAAAAGGGUUAACAAAAUACAUGUUCAUAUACCUAAAGAUAAGAAAAGUUAUGUGAUAGAUACCAAUGUCUGAACAGUAGUCCACAGGAUGCAACUCUCACAGAAUAGAAGAAAAAUCAAGCAACCUCGUGGUUAAUUGCCGUAAUGGAAUACUGAUAGUUGCCAUUGGCUGAGCAAGAAUUCACAUGUUGCUGAUCCUCUAGUUCCCUGUGAUACUUUGGAUGUUAAGCUCUGAAGCACUGUUGAAUUUGGCAAAGCGAGGACAAAAACCCAUUCCUAUUCUGAGCAUGCUACUUCAGCUACUUGCCUUUCAUUCAAGAAAGGGAUUUGUUGACAGCAAAAUUAUUUUCUUAGAAAAACACUAAAUGAGAAGAUGACAAAUGCUGUUGUGAAUGUUCACACAACUCCAGGAGCGAUCAACCAUCAUUAUUCAGACAGGCCUUGUGCAGGAAGGGAUAGCGCUAAAAUCUUGAAAUUUGGCAAGAAUAAGGUUUUCAAUAAAGACUAGCACUUAGUGUUCUAGUUUCAUUAGCCAGAUUCAUGCUCAUUUGGAAUUGACCAUGUGCAGUGGAACAUCUUGGCUGUAUGGAUGCAA